UAAACCUUGGGAGGAACCGGUCAAAGGAAGGAGCGCCUUCUGGAACUGUAAAGCCUUCAUUUGGCAGCUCAGUGACUGGCUUGGUCUACUUGUGAGGUGCUGAGGGAAGUUGUCUGCUGUUCCAAAACGAUGAAAAUAAAAAAUGGGGUCCCUUGUGUUGUUGAGGGAUGGGUGCUAAUGCUAGCAGCUGAAUGGUUAUCUUCUGACUAUGUUUUGGUGUGUUGAAGCUGAAAGGCAGCCUGCAACCUAGGACGUCAUCACAGCCAGAGCAGUCUCUGGUAAGGUGUUGUAGCUGGCUUAAGAGGGCAGAUGGAAGCAUCUGCCUCGGGCAGGUGAGCGGGCAGAGGUGUCUCGCACAGACUCAAAGGAGCAAACUGCAUUCUGAAGA